UACGGGGGGGGGCAAGCGUUGUUCGGAAUUACUGGGCGUAAAGGGCGCGUAGGCGGCGUGUCAAGUCAGGCGUGAAAGCCCCGGGCUCAACCUGGGAACCGCGCUUGAGACUGGCAUGCUCGAGUUCGGGAGAGGAUGGUGGAAUUCCCAGUGUAGAGGUGAAAUUCGUAGAUAUCGGGAGGAACACCGGUGGCGAAGGCGGUUCUCUGGGGCCUGACCUGACGCUGAGGAGCGAAAGCGUGGGGAGCGAACAGG
rnacentral:rRNA from 1 species